UUUGAGAUGUGGUUCCUGCUAGAGAGC
rnacentral:piRNA from 1 species